rnacentral:ncRNA from 1 species
UAUCUAGAGUGGUGGAGGGAAAGGCCCAAUGAAGCCCGGCAACCAGCAAUAGCAUGGUGCCAAUACCUUCAGGAAACUGAAUGAU